UGCAGCGUGAAAAGCCACAGGGAGAAGAAAAUACUCCCGAACCCUUACGGUAACCUUCCAACCCCCGUAACUUCUCCAUCCGAGCUUCGAUUGCUGCACCGUUUGCGGCCACGCGUCCACCGCGUCGAGCUCUACAUUUUUACCGGAAUAAUUUCACUGGAUCCAAUUAGUUUGAGAAAAACGUUCACUCUUGCUUAUGUGAAGCUUGGGUAAGGUUGAAAAUAAAUAAUUGGAGCUUGAAAUUGUGAAUACUGGAACUUGGAGGAAGCGAAUUAGUUGAGGUUUUGAGGGCUGUGUUCUUUUAGGAAAUUUUUCUUGGAAUAAUACUUGGAAAUUGGCUAAGAUGCAGGUCGAGAGGCAUCUCGUUA